rnacentral:rRNA from 1 species
AACGAACGCUGGCGGCAUGCCUAACACAUGCAAGUCGAACGAGACCACCGGGGCUAGCGGCGCGCGGCUGCGUAAGGCGGGGGAAGCAGCACUUAGGAUCGGAAUAACUCCCCGAGAGGGGUGCUAAGACCGGAUAAUUUCUACGGACCAAUGACUUAUCGCCUUAGGAUGGGCCCGCGUUGGAUUAGCUAGUUGGGAGGGUAAAAGCCUACCAAGGCGACGAUCCAUAGCUGGUCUGAGAGGAGGAUCAGCCACCCUGGGACUGGGACACGGCCCAGACUCCUGCGGAAGGGAGCAGUGGUGAUUCUUGGACACUGGGCGAAAGCCUGAUCCAGCAAUGCUGCGUAGGUGAUGAAGGCCUUAGGGUUGUAAUGCUCCUUUACCCGGCAUGAUAAGGCCAGUCCCGGGAGAAUAGACCCCGGCUAACUCCGU